GGAGGGCAGGCAGGAAAGAGAAAGAAGAGAGGAAGGAAGGAGGGGGCAGCGAAAGCAGAGCUGUGAUGCAGACAGCGAAUCACAUGAGCAGGGAUCUGUUUACAAACUGAGAGCUGCAGAUGAGAAGUGGAGAAGAGAGACGAGGGAGGAGAGUAAAUGGAGCAGAAAAGCAGAUGGAGGUGUUGGGAUCCGCUUUCCACAGGAGCACGAAGGGGACUGCCUUCUUCUCACUGCCUUCACAGAUAACAGGCUGAGCUGAAGGGAAAUUCAUCCAUGUCUUUUUUCUUUGUCUCUCCACGGCAGGCUAUUGAAGCCAGAGAUAAGAAGAGUGACUCAAGAAUCUAAGAGGAGAACACACAGGAGGAAGAAGAAAGGAGAGCAAAUG